GGCUAAGUAUGCUUGGGAUAAACAAAAGGGAUUUCUUGGGCCUCAUACUCUCAAAGACUGACCCUUGCCCUCGUGAUGAUAAUAUAGCUGCUGGAGCCCAGCAACUACAUCCUCUCAGGGGUAAGAACAUCAGAGGAGAGAGAGCUUCAACCAGUUCGAACAAAAACCCGGGACCUAAUCUUCAACUACCCAAGUUAGGUCAAGUGGCCAUCCCUGACACAAUUACACUGGCCAGGAGAAGGCAAGACAGAGCCUGGUAUAAAGCUAGGUCCCAUAAUGACCUCUGUGGGAGAAGAAUCUAAAAACAAGCUUCAAACUGAUUGCAUACUGAUUGAUGUCUGGGAUUUGCUGUAAACUAUUUCCAUAGAGACUAAAAGAAGCAAACUGCAAAGGAAUAGAUGGAAAGACAAAAUAAAUAUGAGGAAAUGGUCUAUGUGCCCAAAGAAUCAACAACAACAAAAAGUUCCUGAAACUAAUAAGGCUGAAAGACAGAAGGAGCCGUGAUAGAACCAGACUUGUGGGGACCCUCAGUCAGCAGAAGCAAUGACACAGCAGUGACCUUCAUGGACCAGAGGACAAUGUCCACCACAGUGGGCACCACCCUGACAGACAACAGCAAGGAUGGACUCCUUAUCCAAAUCCCCACCUGAUGCCAUGAUCCCCUCCAUGUUCCUCGAAGUGAAAACUAACUCUAAAAAUUAAUCCAGGAAACCCUAACUGAAAAAUAGAAGUUAGGUUGAAUUCUCUAAGUACAGAUAAUUACAUUUCAGGACUUCCUCAGCACUCCAGUGAUCCAGUGGUUAAGACUGCACUUCCACUGCUGGGAAAUGGGUUCAGUCCCUGGUUGGGGAACUUGGAUCCCCACAUGCCACAUGGCAAGAGUUAAAAAGAAAAUUACAUUUUUGUGUGCCUGAGUUUGUGGGUUAGGAUUCACUCACACAAAGACUAGAUAAACCUUCUUUGUUUCAGUCUCCAGGUUAAGGAUGG
ensembl:lncRNA